rnacentral:tRNA from 1 species
UCCUCUGCAGCUCAUUUGGUUAGAGUGCUGCACCAGAGUCGCAGGUUCGAUUCCUGCCAGAGGAG